GCACGGGGGCAACCCUGGUGGCGAGUGGCGAACGGGUGAGUAACGCAUCGGAACGUGCCCAGUAGUGGGGGAUAACUAGUCGAAAGAUUAGCUAAUACCGCAUACGACCUACGGGUGAAAGCGGGGGACCUUUACCGGCCUCGCGCUAUCGGAGCGGCCGAUGUCUGAUUAGCUAGUUGGCGGGGUAAGAGCCCACCAAGGCGACGAUCAGUAGCUGGUCUGAGAGGAUGAUCAGCCACACUGGGACUGAGAUACGGCCCAGACUCCUACGGGAGGCAGCAGUGGGGAAUAUUGGACAAUGGGGGCAACCCUGAUCCAGCAAUGCCGCGUGAGUGAUGAAGGCCUUAGGG
rnacentral:rRNA from 1 species